UAAACUUGUGUUGGGUUGUUGCUGGCUUUCAGGAGCAUGUGCACACUCAUUCCAUUUUUGUUAACCACCUGUGCACCUACUGUAGGCCUGUGAGCUUUUUCGAGGAAACUCGGUUUGAGAACUGCUCAGCUGUUCUUGUGUUUUCAGGUCUAUGUUUUUACAUACUCCAUAACAAGUGAUAGAAUGUUCAUUUAUAGGCCUUUUGUGCCUUUAAACCCUAAUACAACUUUCAACAACGGAUCUCUUGGCUCUCGCAUCGAUGAAGAACGCAGCGAAAUGCGAUAAGUAAUGUGAAUUGCAGAAUUCAGUGAAUCAUCGAAUCUUUGAACGCACCUUGCGCUCCUUGGUAUUCCGAGGAGCAUGCCUGUUUGAGUGUCAUGAAAUUCUCAACCUUAUUGGCUUUUAUUACAAAAGCUGGUCAAGGCUUGGAUUGUGGAAGCUGCUGGUGUCUUUGGAAAUCAGCUCUUCUUAAAUAAAUUAGCGAAAUUCUUUGCUGAAUAUCUUUGGUAUGAUAAUUAUCUAUAUCAUUGGGAUGCAGCUUUUUCCACUUUGGCGGAUCAGGCUCCGCUUGGAUGGUAUGUCCAAGUGUUCGAUUCAACCGUUCUGAAGCACUAGCUUAGGCACAGAUGUUAAGUCGUCUGAUGGUGUUGAAUACUUCAGGUUGACGAAGCGAAGCGUUCUUAGGAGCGCUCACGAGAGCAAGCCACUGUAAUCA
rnacentral:rRNA from 1 species